rnacentral:rRNA from 1 species
CGAAANUGUGGGUAUCAAACAGGAUUAGAUACCCUGGUAGUCCACACAGUAAACGAUGAAUACUCGCUGUUUGCGAUAUACAGUAAGCGGCCAAGCGAAAGCAUUAAGUAUUCCACCUGGGGAGUACGCCGGCAACGGUGAAACUCAAAGGAAUUGACGGGGGCCCGCACAAGCGGAGGAACAUGUGGUUUAAUUCGAUGAUACGCGAGGAACCUUACCCGGGCUUAAAUUGCAGUGGAAUGAUGUGGAAACAUGUCAGUGAGCAAUCACCGCUGUGCAGGUGCUGCAUGGUUGUCGUCAGCUCGUGCCGUGAGGUGUCGGCUUAAGUGCCAUAACGAGCGCAACCCUUAUCUUCAGUUACUAACAGGUCAUGCUGAGGACUCUGGAGAGACUGCCGUCGUAAGAUGUGAGGAAGGUGGGGAUGACGUCAAAUCAGCACGGCCCUUACGUCCGGGGCUACACACGUGUUACAAUGGGGGGUACAGAAGGCAGCUAGCGGGUGACCGUAUGCUAAUCCCAAAAUCCUCUCUCAGUUCGGAUCGAAGUCUGCAACCCGACUUCGUGAAGCUGGAUUCGCUAGUAAUCGCGCAUCAGCCACGGCGCGGUGAAUACGUUCCCGGGCCUUGUACACACCGCCCGUCAAGCCAUGGGAGCNNNNNNUACCUGAAGUACGUAACCGCAAGGAUCGUCCUAGGGUAAAACUGGUGACUGGGGCUAAGUCGUAACAAGGUAACC